UCAUUUUUAGUUUAGCGGGAAAAUGCUUAAUUUCUAGUACAAUGGUAGAGGGUUCGAAUCCCUCACAUGGAA